UACGUAGGUGGCAAGCGUUGUCCGGAUUUACUGGGCGUAAAGAGCGCGCAGGCGGUCCGAUCAGUCGAAUGUGAAAGCCCCCGGCUCAACUGGGGAGGGUCAUUCGAUACUGUCGGACUCGAAGGCAGGAGAGGGAAGCGGAAUUCCCGGUGUAGUGGUGAAAUGCGUAGAUAUCUGGAGGAACACCGGUGGCGAAGGCGGCAUCCUGGACCGGUAUUGACGCUGAUGCGCGAAAGCCAGGGGAGCAAACGGG
rnacentral:rRNA from 1 species